UGCAGAGAGCAGUCAGACUUGCUGGGCACAUCCCAGGCUGCCUAGAUCUUACCAGAGAAAACAGGAGGGAGCGGCUUCUCUCCGCAUGUGGGACAAAGCCAAGCAGAAAGGAUACUUGAAUUAGGCAAGUGGCAGGUAGAGAUCAUGUGAUAUCUGAGACUCCAGGGUGCUGUACGAAUAUGAAACAGUCAUUGUGAGUUCUAAGAAGCCUCAGAGGACAUCACAGAGAAGCUGACUACUUAAGCACGUGAGUCAUCAUGACAUCCAUCUGCACCUCCUUUGUUCAAUUUCUUUAACUCUUGCUCCCGCA
rnacentral:lncRNA from 10 species